rnacentral:rRNA from 1 species
CCUACGGGAGGCAGCAGUGAGGAAUAUUGGUCAAUGGGCGUAAGCCUGAACCAGCCAAGUCGCGUGAAGGAUGAAGGUUCUAUGGGUCGUAAACCUCUUUUAUAAGGGAAUAAAGUGUGGGACGUGUACUAUUUUGUAUGUACUUUAUGAAUAAGGAUCGGCUAACUCCGUGCCAGCAGCCGCGGUAAUACGGAGGAUCCGAGCGUUAUCCGGAUUUAUUGGGUUUAAAGGGUGCGUAGGCGGCCUUUUAAGUCAGUUGUGAAAGUUUGCGGCUCAACCAUAGAAUUGCCGUUGAUACUGGCGUCCUUGAGUACGUUUGAGGUAGGCGGAAUGCGUGGUGUAGCGGUGAAAUGCUUAGAUAUCACGCAGAACCCCGAUUGCGAAGGCAGCCUGCCAAGCCAUGACUGACGCUGAUGCACGAAAGUGUGGGGAUCAAACAGGAUUAGAUACCCGGGUAGUC